rnacentral:ncRNA from 13 species
CGGAAUAUAGCUCAGCUGGUUAGAGCAUUCCGCUGAUAACGGAGAGGUCGUUGGUUCAAGUCCAAUUAUUCCGA